UCUGGCUCAGGAUGAACGCUAGCUACAGGCUUAACACAUGCAAGUCGAGGGGAAACGACAUCGAAAGCUUGCUUUUAAUGGGCGUCGACCGGCGCACGGGUGAGUAACGCGUAUCCAACCUGCCCACCACUUGGGGAUAACCUUGCGAAAGUAAGACUAAUACCCAAUGAUAUCCCACGAAGGCAUCCGAAUGGGAUUAAAGAUUUAUCGGUGAUGGAUGGGGAUGCGUCUGAUCAGCUUGUUGGCGGGGUAACGGCCCACCAAGGCUACGAUCAGUAGGGGUUCUGAGAGGAAGGUCACCCACAUUGGAACUGAGACACGGUCCAAACUCCUACGGGAGGCAGCAGUGAGGAAUAUUGGUCAAUGGGCGAGAGCCUGAACCAGCCAAGUAGCGUGCAGGAUGACGGCCCUAUGGGUUGUAAACUGCUUUUAUAAGGGAAUAAAGUGAGUCUCGUGAGACUUUUUGCAUGUACCCUAUGAAUAAGGACCGGCUAAUUCCGUGCCAGCAGCCGCGGUAAUACGGAAGGUCCGGGCGUUAUCCGGAUCUAUUGGGUUUAAAGGGAGCGUAGGCCGGAGAUUAAGCGUGUUGUGAAAUGUAGUGGCUCAACCUCUGCACUGCAGCGCGAACUGGUCUUCUUGAGUACGCACAACGUGGGCGGAAUUCGUGGUGUAGCGGUGAAAUGCUUAGAUAUCACGAAGAACUCCGAUUGCGAAGGCAGCUCACGGGAGCGCAACUGACGCUGAAGCUCGAAAGUGCGGGUAUCGAACAGGAUUAGAUACCCUGGUAGUCCGCACGGUAAACGAUGGAUGCCCGCUGUUGGCCUGAAUAGGUCAGCGGCCAAGCGAAAGCAUUAAGCAUCCCACCUGGGGAGUACGCCGGCAACGGUGCAACUCAAAGGAAUUGACGGA
rnacentral:rRNA from 1 species